AAACGACUCUCGGCAACGGAUAUCUCGGCUCUCGCAUCGAUGAAGAACGUAGCGAAAUGCGAUACUUGGUGUGAAUUGCAGAAUCCCGUGAACCAUCGAGUCUUUGAACGCAAGUUGCGCCCUAAGCCUUCUGGUCGAGGGCACGUCUGCCUGGGUGUCACAA
rnacentral:rRNA from 2 species